rnacentral:lncRNA from 1 species
GGUUUGUGCUAGUUGAAGUCUUGCCUGAGCCGUUAGAUACGAUCAAAUGUUGAAAUUUAUUCUUGGAAUUUAUACCGUCUCUUGUGUGGCUUUACUCAUAUGACUUUUGGGACCUCAUUCUAGACGAUUCGAUUUUCUCUCUCUUUGGCUCCUUCUUCGUUCUUUCAAGUUGAAAAUUUCUUAUUUUCUGAUCUUUCGAGUUUUUUGUAAUUUGAUGCAAUGGAAUGUGUUGCGUUCAUAUACAUCAGGCCUGAAAAGAGUGGCAGAUUUGUGUAGUUAACUCCAUAUAGUUUUGGUUGGUUUUCUUUUGGGUCAUUUUACCGAUUUCACAAGAUUGAAUAGAUCUAUGACUAAAACUCAGUCUGAGUGGUUUUUCAUGUAAUCUCGCUCUCUUGGCAAGUGGAAUAUUGCACUAGUGGGACAGGCUGAGCCCCCCAGAUCAAGCUUAUUGACUGAUAUUGAGUCUACAAUUUCUUGGUGUUUAUCUGUUCAUCUUUACAAUUUUAUCGUUUGUGAUGUUUUAUAUUUUGGUUUAAAACUUGAAAUCAACUGUAAAUCGUUUUUCCUAGAAUAUUUUUCCUUUGGGUACACUAUUUUUCGUAUUUGCAUAGAUCUGGAUUGAUCUAAACAAAUAGUAUAUUAUUCAGCUAUCUUGGUCUCAACAGUGAAAAAACUGGAUUAUGCGCCACUUGCUGAUAUGCUGGUGUUUUAUUUUUUAUUUAUUUUUCUUUUUGGGUAAGAUUGAAGGUUUAAUUGAAGGCUCUCACUGUUGGCUUGAUUAAGGGUACUGUGUUAAUAAAACUGUUUUUUAAGCAGUAUCGAUAAGAUUGUUCUGAAUCUUCCUUAAAAAUUCGAUUUGAUAGUUUUUUUGUAUGAUACAUAUGCAUGUUGGGAUAUAUGUUAUUAUUGAAAUAAAUUGAAUUAGUGAGUCUAAGCCUCCAUACCAUACCUUGAUAUAUUUGACUGAAG